GUAGGGAAUAUUGGGCAAUGGAUGCAAGUCUGACCCAGCCAUGCCGCGUGGAGGAAGAAGGUCCUCUGGAUUGUAAACUCCUUUUUUGGGGGAAGAAUAGUUCUCUUGCGAGGGAAUGUGACGGUACCCUAAGAAUAAGCCACGGCUAACUACGUGCCAGCAGCCGCGGUAAUACGUAGGUGGCAAGCGUUGUCCGGUUUUAUUGGUUUUAAAGGGUGCGUAGGUGGUUUGAUAAGUCAGUGGUGAAAGCUGGUUGCUCAACAAUCAAGUUGCCAUUGAUACUGUCGGACUUGAGAGAAGUGGAAGUUCAUGGAAUGGAUGGUGUAGCGGUGAAAUGCGUAGAUAUCAUCCAGAACGUCGAUUGCGAAGGCAGUGGGCUGUACUUUAUCUGACACUGAGGCACGAAAGUGUGGGGAUCAAACAGGAUUAGAUACCCUAGUAGUCC
rnacentral:rRNA from 1 species